GACGUAGGGCGCGAGCGUUUGUCCGGAUUUAUUGGGCGUAAAGAGCUCGUAGGCGGCUUGUUGCGUCAGCUGUGAAAACCCGCAGCUCAACUGUGGGCUUGCAGCUGAUACGGGCAGGCUUGAGUUCGGUAGGGGAGACUGGAAUUCCUGGUGUAGCGGUGAAAUGCGCAGAUAUCAGGAGGAACACCGGUGGCGAAGGCGGGUCUCUGGACCGUAACUGACGCUGAGACACGAAAGCGUGGGUAGCAAACAGG
rnacentral:rRNA from 1 species